CACGUAGGGUGCAAGCGUUAAUCGGAAUUACUGGGCGUAAAGCGUGCGCAGGCGGUUUUGUAAGUCUGACGUGAAAUCCCCGGGCUCAACCUGGGAAUUGCGUUGGAGACUGCAAGGCUAGAAUCUGGCAGAGGGGGGUAGAAUUCCACGUGUAGCAGUGAAAUGCGUAGAGAUGUGGAGGAACACCGAUGGCGAAGGCAGCCCCCUGGGUCAAGAUUGACGCUCAUGCACGAAAGCGUGGGGAGCAAACAGG
rnacentral:rRNA from 1 species